CCUACGGGAGGCUGCAGUAGGGAAUAUUGCUCAAUGGGGGAAACCCUGAAGCAGCAACGCCGCGUGGAGGAUGAAGGUUUUCGGAUUGUAAACUCCUUUUGUUAGAGAAGAUAAUGACGGUAUCUAACGAAUAAGCACCGGCUAACUCCGUGCCAGCAGCCGCGGUAAUACGGAGGGUGCAAGCGUUACUCGGAAUCACUGGGCGUAAAGAGCGCGUAGGCGGGAUAGCAAGUCAGAUGUGAAAUCCUAUGGCUUAACCAUAGAACUGCAUUUGAAACUGUUAUUCUAGAGUAUGGGAGAGGUAGGUGGAAUUCUUGGUGUAGGGGUAAAAUCCGUAGAGAUCAAGAGGAAUACUCAUUGCGAAGGCGACCUGCUAGAACGUAACUGACGCUGAUGCGCGAAAGCGUGGGUAGCAAACAGGAUUAGAUACCCUAGUAGUC
rnacentral:rRNA from 1 species